CCUUAAAGAGGGUGAUUUUUAAGUUAAAAGAGCCUCCAAAAAAUUGGCACUUGGGACAUAUUUAGAGGUUUCCUUCCUUCUUACCUCUACUUCCAUCUCUGCUCCUAAACAAUUGUUUUUUCUUCGUAACUAGUUUUAUAAAAAAAAUUGCUCUAAAUAUUGACAUUUGUUUUUUUCUUUUGUUAAAAAAAACUCCUUUAUGAUACCAGCUCCUGGAACGGGACACAGCUGCCUAACGAAACUGAUUUAUUCACAGAACUAAAAAAAGAUUGACUAAGGAAGGAGAGAAUUAGAGAUACUGGUUGUUUUACCAAGGGUUUGACUGGAAUGGGAUAUUUUCAAAUGUAGUCCAGACUGCUUUGAGGAAUCAGGUUGACUUUAUAAGGCCAAUAAAAGCCCUCUGGAAAAAAAAUACUGACCUGAUACCUCAUCUAUAACAUUUCCAGAUCUGUGAGUCAUACUAUCCUGAAGACUAGAGAUGAUUCAAUGAAGCCUACAAAUCUUCCUUAUCAAAAAUCUCACUGGGACCGGUUGGUUUUCCACUGUCAAUGCUGCAUUACUAUACAGGAACCUCCCUCCCUCUCCGUCCAGGAACUGUGGCGGAAGAGGGAUGCAUGUGAGAUUGUAAGGGCCAAUUUAAGGGACAGAAUGUGCUUUAA